AUGCAACUUUUUCCUUGGACAUACUCAUUACUCAUCAUAGUAUAUAAUGAGCUAAUAGUUGACUUCAAUGUUCCAAAAAGCUCACAACCUCAAACAACAAGAAUUGCUAUUUUUUUUUGCUACCAACCAGAGAGCAGAUCUGGUUUAUGAUCUUAGUCCAUUUCCUCUUUGAUUCAAGAUAAAUGGUCCAAGAAUUUUACUUUGUCAAGAGGGCAGGCAAUUUGCUAAUUCUAGAUGGGAAAUUUUGUUUUGAUAGGAGCGAUCGCGGGAUCGGUUUGGAAAAUCAAAAUGAAGAAUGGCAGUCCAGAAAAUGAAAUAUUUGGAAGAAACCUAGUUGUUGGUAUGGGCGGUAUAGGAAGGAUAACUCUCCAGAAUUGCUAUUUCUCGUUAAAAAUAUUAUGUCGAUCCGUUUUCAAGGGUAUGCCUCUUAUACAUUAAUCUAGUUUCCAUGAAGCAAGUUAUCUGAAAUUCUUUUGUGAUGAAAAUGAAACUACUGGUUUUCUUUUCCUUUUUAAUCGGGUUUUUGCACAAGUAAUUUUGGAAUAUGGUGUAUACUUUUCGUUGAUUUUGUAAAAUCAUUGCAUCUGUUUGUGAAGACUAGUUGAUUAAAUCUUGAAUUGUUCUUCCUUCAUACUAUGUUGAUGAAUGGACUAGAUCCAUUCUUCUAUCUAGACUUCGGUAUUCUGAUUUGGCCCAAAUUGUUAAUCAGUUCGCUUUGUUUUAGUGAAUUGAUUUUUGACCUAAUAUUGGUAAAAGAAUUUAACAUUUACACUUACCUUUGAUUAAAUUAAUCUGCUUAUAAAUUAUGCUUUUAAGUAAUGUUUGAUUACCCAGAAAAUGGUAGUUGGUGGGAAGCUAAUACACAAUUCCCAUUCUCUUUGCAGCAUAUAUAAGCAACUCGACUAUGGAGAAGCAACUCGUAGUAGCAGCAAUAUAAAGUGCUUCACCAUUUCCAAAAAGAGUAGAUAGCAAUAUAAAUAGACUUAAUUUUUUCAGGGUAAAGAAGCCGUGAACAACAACUUGAGAUCUUGGCUCGAGUUACAAGUAUUGUCUACAUCUCAAUUCCCAUGCUUCCUCCAUCAUUACCAUCACCAUAUAAAAGAACAUCGAGGUAUCUUAUGACAAACUUCUGUUGGUUGGAAACUAAUAUCAAUAAGUAUUUAUUUUUUAUGAGAAGAAAUGUCAAGGAAUGUCUAAAGAGGAUAGAAGAAUGAAUAUCAUUUGUGUAUUAUGCUAAUGAAUUUGUCAAGAGAUAGAGACGAAUUAUUCAAAUGCUACUAUGAAUAUUAGCUGGAAUCAUGUGUAUUAGCUGAAGAUAUAUACCAGAAAUAUAGUUAUUUGUGCUGCCAAUUUCUACAUGCUAAAUAUGUCCUCAUAGUUGGAAUUAUAUCAGAUGUGCAAUGGGCAUUGCUAAACCUAGCUACAAUAGUAUGGUACAGUUAUAUUACAAAGCCAUAAAAAUUUCAUUCUCUUGGUGACGAGUUUUAAUGGUGGUUUGGGAAAUUUCUGAAAGUCACAAGCCCUUUGCAAAUUGAAUUUUCCAUGUCUUAUUGAUGUUGAUUUAAUGAUCUUGGAAAAGAACCCUACAAUAACUUCAGUGUGACAACUUCAGACAUCGUGUUUAUAAGAAUGGGUUCGUCUUUUAAAUUUUCCGGCUUCUAAGCAGUGUUGCGGAUGGAGGAGGAAAAGAGAGUAAAUCCACUUUGAACAUGUACAGUUUUUCUUCUUCUUUCCCGUUUUAUGGAAAUGCCAUUUGUGUAUAUUUGAAUAUUGCAUUCAAAGGUUUCCAUUAUCCCGAAGUCUGCAAACAUGAAUAAAAACAUGAAAUGUACAACAGUACAAGGUAAUCUUGGAGGAAUAAACUCCCCAGAGUUGUGUAUUUUUGCCUUAGUAGAUUGGCCGACCUUUAGUUUAGUCGAUUGGUCUACUUCCUUUGUUUGCGGUAAGUUAGAUCUGUAUGAAUUCCAAACCAAGCACGAACUCUAGAGAGCACACUUGGGAGUUUAGAUUCUUAUAGAGCUGUCAAAAGGCUUGAGUUGUAGCUGGAUUCUCGAAUCUAGAUUGCAACUCAGAUCAUGCUUCUUGCACAAGUACUUCUGAAGUUGGCUCACAAACACAUCCUUUAAGCAAUAUUCUUCUUUUGGGUUUUCAUUGUGGUAGAUUAUCCUUAUGAACAUACAUGUCUUGAUAAAUUACUUCAUUGCUAAUUUCUACGGACUUAAGUGAAGUCGUAACUAGCCAUGCUGGAAGGUGUAACUGGAUUACCUCAUUUCAGGGAGAGCUAUUGCUAGCAUUACAUGACCAACUCUGAUAUUACCACAUGGCUAUCUUACAAUUUUGUGAAAUUAAGACAAUUGCAGAAUACAUCCAUCAUCUUCCAAUUACUGCGGAAGAGAAUUAAUAAUUGAGUUAAAACUAAUGCACUGACUUUUGAGCAUCUGAAAUUGACACGAGUCUAUUCAUCAUAAUAAUCAAACAAAACCAAUCACCUAGGUGUGCCUAGAGUAUGAUAGUUAUGCGUAUCAUUCCUACUCAUAUGAAUGUUUAAAAAGAAACAAUUGGGUAUUUGAGUGGUUUGUACUUGAUAAUAGAGGCACAAGGUUCACGACAUUUGAGUUUAAAGUUCUAAUUGAGCGUCCAAAUUUGGAUCAAUACCAACCAAAAAAAAAUCUCUAAACAAGGUUCUAGCACCAUACAAAAUGUGUCCAAACAAAUAGAGCAAAAUAAACGAAGGAUGUUCAAAAGUAAACUAUCAGAUUUCAUAGUACAAUCUGAUUCAAAAAUUACCCAAGUGUCAAGACAAAUCAAUAGAAUAAUUCUAAAUAAGCUCCAUAUAAAUCAUGCACAGAAAUUCAUAAUAGAAAAGGUAAGAAUAUUAAAAAUCUAAUUUGUAAAUAAACAUAAAAUAGAUCGAUAGCUACUAAUCACAUAACAAAACUGUAAUUUUUUGUUAAAAGUAAAAACAACCUAGAAAUCUCCUAUACUAACACUACCUGUCAUUACGUGUAUUUGAAGUCCCUUGUGUCAGCUACUUGCCUAAAAAUUGUAUGCCCGAAAAGAUGGGAUCCGGACGAGAAGCAUUAUGGGCUUGGGAUGGACUCCGUCCCUCCCAAGUGUUGUAAGACCUGAAAUUAUCAAGCAUUUCCUAGUCUUAGUGUAUUGGUUGUCUGAAGAAGUAGACUCCUUGAUUCGAUUUUUUUAUCGCACUAUAUUUGAGUUAAAGCCUUUUUCUUUCUAAUGGGUUAUUAGGGAUACAAAAUAGAGAAUGGAGUAGAGAAAUCCCUAAUGUAAUCUUUGAAGAGAAUCAAAUGGUCUUGAAUGAAUUUUUUUUCAUUAAUUCACUAAAAGGUAGGGAUGUUAACAAAUUGAGUCGGUUUGCGAGCCGAAACUUGAGACUUGACCUCAACUUAGGUAAAAAUACUCGAGCUUUUUUUGGCUUGAUUCUUGUUCAAUCGAAAAUUUGAAGUUUGGUUCGGGCUUUUGGCUCAAGCCUAGUUGGCUCCUUCUUUUCUUUUUUUAAUUUGUGACAAUCUAAUCUUUUUUUUUUUUUUAAACAAUUUAA
rnacentral:lncRNA from 1 species